UAAAAAAAGGUAAGCUACUAAGAGCGAAUGGUGGAUGCCUUGACUGGUAAAGGCGAUGAAGGACGUACUAGACUGCGAUAAGCUACGGGGAGCUGUCAAGAAGCUUUGAUCCGUAGAUUUCCGAAUGGGGCAACCCAAUGUAUAGAGAUAUACAUUACCUAUAUAGGAGCGAACGAGGGGAAUUGAAACAUCUUAGUACCCUCAGGAAAAGAAAUCAAUAGAGAUUGCGUCAGUAGCGGCGAGCGAAAGCGCAAGAGGGCAAACCCAGUGCUUGCAC
rnacentral:rRNA from 1 species